rnacentral:rRNA from 1 species
GAUUAUAUAGGUGAGAGGAGCAUGCCCGUUCUUAGUUGGUGGGGUGACUUGUCUGCUUAAUUGCGAUAACGAACGAGAACUUAACCUGCUAAAUAGCACGCAUUGCUCCGGCAGUGCGCUGGCUUCUUAGAGGGACUCUCGGCUCAAGCCGAAGGAAGUUUGAGGCAAUAACAGGUCUGUGAUGCCCUUAGAAGUUCUGGACCGCACGCGCGCUACCACUGCCGGGGUCAGCGAGUUCCAUGACCGAAAGGCCCGGGUAAUCUAGUUAGCCCCCGUCGUGCUGGGGAUAGAGCAUUGCAAUUAUUGCUCUUCAUCGAGGAAUCCCUCCUCCCUCGAAAGUCCCCAGCUUGCGUUGAUUCCAUCCCUGCCCCCCCCCAAUCGCCGCCCGUC